GGUGGGGUGUUAAAAAUUCCCGGUGGCUAGCUCAUAACCCAGAGGUCGCAGGUUCGAAUCCUGUCCCCGCUACAA
rnacentral:tRNA from 1 species